AGUGAACGCUGGCGGUAGGCCUAACACAUGCCAGUCGAACGGCAGCACAGUAAGAGCUUGCUCUUACGGGUGGCGAGUGGCGGACGGGUGAGGAAUACAUCGGAAUCUACUUUUUCGUGGGGGAUAACGUAGGGAAACUUACGCUAAUACCGCAUACGACCUACGGGUGAAAGCAGGGGAUCUUCUGACCUUGCGCGAUUGAAUGAGCCGAUGUCGGAUUAGCUAGUUGGCGGGGUAAAGGCCCACCAAGGCGACGAUCCGUAGCUGGUCUGAGAGGAUGGUCAGCCACACUGGAACUGAGACACGGUCCAGACUCCUACGGGAGGCAGCAGUGGGGAAUAUUGGACAGUGGGCGCAAGCCUGAUCCAGCCAUACCGAGUGGGUGAAGAAGGCCUUCGGGUUGUAAAGCCCUUUUGUUGGGAAAGAAAAGCAGCAGGUUAAUACCCCGCUGUUCUGACGGUACCCAAAGAAUAAGCACCGGCUAACUUCGUG
rnacentral:rRNA from 1 species